GCCACAAGAUAUGAAGAAGAUGG
rnacentral:siRNA from 1 species